UACGAAGGGGGCUAGCGUUGCUCGGAAUCACUGGGCGUAAAGCGCACGUAGGCGGAUUGUUAAGUCAGGGGUGAAAUCCUGGAGCUCAACUCCAGAACUGCCUUUGAUACUGGCGAUCUUGAGUCCGGGAGAGGUGAGUGGAACUGCGAGUGUAGAGGUGAAAUUCGUAGAUAUUAGGAAGAACACCAGUGGCGAAGGCGGCUCACUGGUCCGGUACUGACGCUGAGGUGCGGAAAG
rnacentral:rRNA from 1 species